GUGAGGAUGACGAAAAAAAUCAUUCGGAUUCCCUUUGAAUUCCUCCGGGAAACAUGUGAUUAUAUAACCAGCUACUUCUGACUCAU
rfam:Arabidopsis lyrata subsp. lyrata unplaced genomic scaffold ARALYscaffold_7, whole genome shotgun sequence.